UGUAGGAGCUGCCGAAGGCUGCGAUCUUUUGAUCUUGUUGUUUAAAAAUCAAAGAUCGCAGCCUUCGGCAGCUUCUACA
rnacentral:antisense_RNA from 1 species